CUACGUGCCAGCAGCCGCGGUAAUACGGAAGGUCCAGGCGUUAUCCGGAUUUAUUGGGUUUAAAGGGAGCGUAGGCUGGAGAUUAAGUGUGUUGUGAAAUGUAGACGCUCAACGUCUGAAUUGCAGCGCAUACUGGUUUCCUUGAGUACGCACAACGUUGGCGGAAUUCGUCGUGUAGCGGUGAAAUGCUUAGAUAUGACGAAGAACUCCGAUUGCGAAGGCAGCUGACGGGAGCGCAACUGACGCUUAAGCUCGAAGGUGCGGGUAUCAAACAGGAUUAGAUACCCUGGUAGUCCGCACGGUAAACGAUGGAUGCCCGCUGUUGGUACCUGGUAUCAGCGGCUAAGCGAAAGCAUUAAGCAUCCCACCUGGGGAGUACGCCGGCAACGGUGAAACUCAAAGGAAUUGACGGGGGCCCGCACAAGCGGAGGAACAUGUGGUUUAAUUCGAUGAUACGCGAGGAACCUUACCCGGGCUUGAAUUGCAGAGGAAGGAUUUAGAGAUA
rnacentral:rRNA from 1 species